AUUGAACGCUGGCGGCAUGCCUUACACAUGCAAGUCGAACGGCAGCACGGGGCAACCUGGUGGCGAGUGGCGAACGGGUGAGUAAUGCAUCGGAACGUACCUUUCAGUGGGGGAUAACGUAGCGAAAGUGACGCUAAUACCGCAUAUUCUGUGAGCAGGAAAGCAGGGGAUCGCAAGACCUUGCGCUGAUUGAGCGGCCGAUGUCAGAUUAGCUAGUUGGUGAGGUAAAGGCUCACCAAGGCGACGAUCUGUAGCGGGGCUGAGAGGAUGAUCCGGCACACUGGACCUGAGACACGGUCCAGACUCCUACGGGAGGCAGCAGUGGGGAAUUUUGGACAAUGGGGGCAACCCUGAUCCAGCCAUGCCGCGUGAGUGAAGAAGGCCUUCGGGUUGUAAAGCUCUUUCGGCCGGGAAGAAAUCGCACGGGCUAAUACCCUGUGUGGAUGACGGUACCGGAAUAAGAAGCACCGGCUAACUACGUGCCAGCCGCCGCCGUAACAC
rnacentral:rRNA from 1 species